rnacentral:rRNA from 1 species
ACUCAAAUGAAUAGACGGGGGCCCGCACAAGCGGUGGAGCAUGUGGUUUAAUUCGACGCAACGCGAAAAACCUUACCAGGGCUUGACAUCCUCUGAACUUUGUGGAAACACAGGGGUGCCUGAAAGGGAGCAGAGAGACAGGUGGUGCAUGGUUGUCGUCAGCUCGUGUCGUGAGAUGUUGGGUUAAGUCCCGCAACGAGCGCAACCCCUGUAUUUAGUUACUAACAGGUAAAGCUGAGAACUCUAGAUAGACUGCCGGUGACAAACCGGAGGAAGGUGGGGAUGACGUCAAAUCAUCAUGCCCUGUAUGUCCUGGGCUACACACGUGCUACAAUGGGCGGUACAGACGGAAGCGAAGCCGCGAGGCGGAGCAAAUCCGAGAAAGCCGCUCUCAGUUCAGAUUGCAGGCUGCAACUCGCCUGCAUGAAGUUGGAAUCGCUAGUAAUCGCGAAUCAGCACGUCGCGGUGAAUACGUUCCCGGGCCUUGCACACACCGCCCGU